rnacentral:rRNA from 1 species
GACGAACGCUGGCGGCGUGCUUAACACAUGCAAGUCGAACGGAAAGGCCCUGCUGUUGUGGGGUGCUCGAGUGGCGAACGGGUGAGUAACACGUGAGUAACCUGCCCUUGACUUUGGGAUAACUUCAGGAAACUGUGGCUAAUACCGGAUAGGAGCUCCUGCUGCAUGGUGGGGGUUGGAAAGUUUCGGCGGUUGGGGAUGGACUCGCGGCUUAUCAGCUUGUUGGUGGGGUAGUGGCUUACCAAGGCUUUGACGGGUAGCCGGCCUGAGAGUGUGACCGGCCACAUUGGGACUGAGAUACGGCCCAGACUCCUACGGGAGGCAGCAGUGGGGAAUAUUGCACAAUGGGCGGAAGCCUGAUGCAGCAACGCCGCGUGCGGGAUGACGGCCUUCGGGUUGUAAACCGCUUUCGCCUGUGACGAAGCGUGAGUGACGGUAAUGGGUAAAGAAGCACCGGCUAACUACGUG